UACGUAGGGGGCUAGCGUUGUCCGGAAUCAUUGGGCGUAAAGCGCGUGUAGGCGGUCCGGUAAGUCCGCUGUGAAAGUCGGGGGCUCAACCCUCGAAUGCCGGUGGAUACUGUCGGGCUAGAGUGCGGAAGAGGCGAGUGGAAUUCCUGGUGUAGCGGUGAAAUGCACAGAUAUCAGGAGGAACACCUAUUGCGAAGGCAGCUCGCUGGGACGUAACUGACGCUGAGACGCGAAAGCGUGGGGAGCAAACAGG
rnacentral:rRNA from 1 species